AAAUUGAAGAGUUUGAUCAUGGCUCAGAUUGAACGCUGGCGGCAGGCCUAACACAUGCAAGUCGAGCGGUAGCACAGAGAGCUUGCUCUCGGGUGACGAGCGGCGGACGGGUGAGUAAUGUCUGGGAAACUGCCUGAUGGAGGGGGAUAACUACUGGAAACGGUAGCUAAUACCGCAUAACGUCGCA
rnacentral:rRNA from 2 species